UAAAAGCAUUAUACGGUCUUCUAAUGUUACUUCCCCAGCAAAGUGCCGCCUUUAAGAUACUACGAACACGUCUCAAAACAGUGCCUCCGUAUUCGUUUAGUGGCGAGCACUUCAAGCAAUUAUCAUCCUCCGGGAACUCCUACUCUGCAAUGCAUCACUUGUCUGGGUUGAACAAUGAAGAUGGUGAUGUAAGCCAGGAUGCUGGGAACUCUCGUAGUGGAAUUAACUUUGCUGCUAGGCUACAGCAAUUUGAGCACAUGCAGCAUGAACAUCGGUUACAUGCGAAAGAGCAGACGCUGUCACGGACCAGUACUCCGCCUCCACAAGCAACAAUGGGGGUUGAAAUCCCAGAAGAAACAA
rnacentral:misc_RNA from 1 species